GACAGAGGGUGCAAACGUUGUUCGGAAUUACUGGGCGUAAAGCGCGUGUAGGCGGCCAGGUAGGUCUGCUGUGAAAACUCGAGGCUCAACCUCGAGACGUCGGCGGAAACCAUCUGGCUAGAGUCCGGAAGAGGAGAGUGGAAUUCCUGGUGUAGCGGUGAAAUGCGCAGAUAUCAGGAAGAACACCCGUGGCGAAGGCGGCUCUCUGGGACGGUACUGACGCUGAGACGCGAAAGCGUGGGGAGCGAACAGG
rnacentral:rRNA from 1 species